rnacentral:ncRNA from 1 species
AUUUUGAAUAGACCUGUGUAGGAUAGCUGGGAGGCUUUGAAGUAGGGACGCCAGUUCUUAUGGAGCCAACCUUGAAAUACCAGCCUGGUGUGUUUGAGAUUCUAACCUAGACCCCUGAUCGGGGUUGGGGACCGUGCAUGGUAGGCAGUUUGACUGGGGCGGUCUCCUCCCAAAUUGUAACGGAGGAGUACGAAGGUAUCCUAGGUACGGUCGGACAUCGUACUGAUAGUGCAAUGGCAUAAGGAUGCUUGACUGCGAGACUGACAAGUCGAGCAGGUGCGAAAGCAGGUCAUAGUGAUCCGGUGGUUCUGUAUGGAAGGGCCAUCGCUCAACGGAUAAAAGGUACUCCGGGGAUAACAGGCUGAUACCGCCCAAGAGUUCAUAUCGACGGGGGUGUUUGGCACCUCGAUGUCGGCUCAUCACAUCCUGGGGCUGAAGUCGGUCCCAAGGGUAUGGCUGUUCGCCAUUUAAAGUGGUACGCGAGCUGGGUUUAGAACGUCGUGAGACAGUUCGGUCCCUAUCUGCCGUGGGCGUUGGAGAAUUGAGGGGGGCUGCUCCUAGUACGAGAGGACCGGAGUGGACGAUCCGCUGGUGUUCCAGUUGUCAUGCCAAUGGCAUUGCUGGGUAGCUACGAUCGGGAAGGAUAACCGCUGAAAGCAUCUAAGCGGGAAACCUGCCCCAAGAUAAGUUCUCCCUAGACUUUAAGUCUUCUGAAGGGCCGUUAAAGACGAUGACGUUGAUAGGCAAGGUGUGGAAGUUCAGUAAUGGAUGAAGCUAACUUGUACUAAUUACCCGUGAGGCUUAACUAU